rnacentral:rRNA from 1 species
UACGGAGGGGGCGAGCGUUAUUCGGAAUUAUUGGGCGUAAAGGGCGCGUAGGCGGCUUGACAAGUCAAAGGUGAAAUCCCUCGGCUCAACUGAGGAACUGCCUUUGAAACUGUCUGGCUUGAGGCCGGGAGAGGGUAGCGGAAUUCCCAGUGUAGCGGUGAAAUGCGUAGAUACUGGGAGGAACACCGGUGGCGAAGGCGGCUACCUGGACCGGUUCUGACGCUGAGGCGCGAAAGCGUGGGUAGCAAACAGG